rnacentral:snoRNA from 1 species
AUCUAUAGAAUGAUGAUAACAUAGUUCAAUUGAAAGUAUUAUGAUAUAAUUACUAUAGUUUUAAUGUCUUUCGCUCCUAUCUGAAUGUUUUA